AUCAACCUGCCCUUCAGAGGGGGACGAACAGUUGGAAACGACUGCUAAUACCGCAUACGAUCCAAUCUCGGCACCGAGGAAAGAUGAAAGGUGGCCUCUAUUUAUAAGCUAUCACUGAAGGAGGGGAUUGCGUCUGAUUAGCUAGUUGGAGGGGUAACGGCCCACCAAGGCGAUGAUCAGUAGCCGGUCUGAGAGGAUGAACGGCCACAUUGGGACUGAGACACGGCCCAGACUCCUACGGGAGGCAGCAUG
rnacentral:rRNA from 1 species